UGGGGAAUUUUGGACAAUGGGCGCAAGCCUGAUCCAGCCAUGCCGCGUGCGGGAAGAAGGCCUUCGGGUUGUAAACCGCUUUUGUCAGGGAAGAAAUCUUCUGAGUUAAUACCUCGGGAGGAUGACGGUACCUGAAGAAUAAGCACCGGCUAACUACGUGCCAGCAGCCGCGGUAAUACGUAGGGUGCAAGCGUUAAUCGGAAUUACUGGGCGUAAAGCGUGCGCAGGCGGUUUUGUAAGACAGAGGUGAAAUCCCCGGGCUCAACCUGGGAACUGCCUUUGUGACUGCAAGGCUUGAGUGCGGCAGAGGGGGGAUGGAAUUCCGCGUGUAGCAGUGAAAUGCGUAGAUAUGCGGAGGAAACACCGAUGGCGAAGGCAAUCCCCCUGGGCCUGCACUGACGCUCAUGCACGAAAGCGUGGGGAGCAAACAGGAUUAGAUACCCUGGUAGUCCACGCCCUAAACGAUGUCAACUAGUUGUUGGGGGAUUCAUUUCCUUAGUAACGUAGCUAACGCGUGAAGUUGACCGCCUGGGGAGUACGGUCGCAAG
rnacentral:rRNA from 1 species